rnacentral:tRNA from 1 species
UGCCUCGGUGGCGGAAUCGGUAGACGCGGCGGAUUCAAAAUCCGUUUCUGGCGACAGAGUGAGAGUUCGAGUCUCUCCCGAGGCACCAU